ACUGCUGAUUUAGCCACAGUAACAUUUGGCUUUUUUACUUCUUUGUUAACUGCUAGAAAUCAGCUAAAACAAUUUCAUAAUUUUAGGAACCAUUGAAAGAAUUAUCAAUUUUUUUUAGUGGGCCGUAUUUAUGAAAACACUU
rfam:Plasmodium malariae genome assembly, contig: contig1943